UAUCAAAAAAUACCCCAAAGUUUUGGGAAGUUCCAACAAUUCCAUUCAAUUCUGACUCUUAAUUGUUCAGAGUUAGCAUAGACUCCACAGGUUAAGGGACAUAGUCCAACAAGACUACCCCUACUUCAGACACAAGCUCUAAGUCUUGGGUGUCAUCUGGACUUCUGAUAAACUCACUUGACUACAAAUUUAGGGGUUCCCUCUGGUUUGAUAAUUUGCUACAGUGACUCAGAGCUUAGGAAAUUGCUGUACUUACAAUUACUCUUCAAUUAGAAGGGACAUAAAUGAACAGGAUGAAGAGGUACAUAGCACACAGUCUGGAAGGAUUCUGAGUGCAGAAGCUUUCAUCCCCAUGCCCGGUACACCACUCUCCCACUAAAGCAGUAUGUUCAACCAGGAAACUCUGAACCUUAUAUUCAGAGUUUUUAAUUGAGGUCUCACAAAAUAAGCAUGAUUGAUUAAAUCAUUUACCAUAUGCUUGAACUCUAUCCCUAGUCUCCUGCUCACAGAGGUAGGGGACUGGGGGAAAGGGAAGGGAAGGGCUGAAAGUUCCAACCCUCUGAUCUAAUCUGUCUAACCUCUAGUUGGUUUUCUGGUGAUCAGCCUUAUUCUGAAGCUAUGUAGGGGCCCCAUGAUGACUUACCUCAUUAGUAUAACAAAGAAAUGUCUACUAGUAAGUGGUUUUGAAGCUCUGUGCCAGAAGUUAGUAGCAAAGAUCAGGCAUAUAUCAUUUCUUAUAUUAUGGUCAUAGAGUCAGAGUGAUGCUUUUAAUAAACAUAUAAUACACUUUUAGGGCUUUUCCUCCCUGAAAUGGAUGAGGGAGGCAUUCAUUCAGACCUUAUUUUGAGUGGCUCUAUUGAAUUGUUACUCCAUUAUGCAAACUAAACCAAAACAUAGAGGUGAAUUACGGUGUUUAAAAAAAAGGGAUGAUCUUAGCCUUUAUUUAACACUUUAUUCCCAGAUAUUUAAAAAAAUAUAAGUUGAUUUUGGGUUUGAAUAAUUCUAUUUUGUACUUCAGUUUAUACUUUUCUCCACAUGGCAUGUGGAGACUUGAGCAUGGUUAAACAGGUAAAUACAGUCUCCUUGAAUUUUACUGUGUUUAUGUUAGCUUAUCAAGCCGUGUGUUAACUUCCAGUCUUCUUUUUUAGAAUGUGUAAUUUUUUUCCCCCCCUGAGCAGAGUCUUGCUCUGUCACCCAGUCUGGAGUGCAGUGGCAUGAUGUCAACUCAUGGCAACUUCUGAC